AUACGGAGGACGCGAGCGUUAUCCGGAUUCAUUGGGUUUAAAGGGUGCGCAGGCGGCCGUGCAAGUCAGCGGUGAAAGCCCGGGGCUCAACCCCGGAAGUGCCGUUGAUACUGCAUGGCUGGAAUGCGGUCGAGGCGGGCGGAACGUGGGGUGUAGAGGGGAAAUGCGUAGAUAUGCCACAGAACGCCGAUAGCGGAGGCAGCUCGCCAGGCCUGCAUUGACGCUCGGGCACGAAAGCGUGGGGAUCGAACAGGAUUAGAUACCCUGGUAGUCCACGCCGUAAACGAUGGGCGCUCGUCGUCGGCGGCAGACAGUCGGCGGCCAAGCGAAAGCGAUAAGCGCCCCACCUGGGGAGUACGGUCGCAAGGCUGAAACUCAAAUGAAUUGACGGGG
rnacentral:rRNA from 1 species